UCCGAGGCCGGCCGCGUGGCUGGAAGUCAUGGCGCCUUAUGUCUGGGCCAUGCGCAGCGAGCUGUCACUGGCCUUUGGCGAUGGCAAGGCUGCGGAGGUGGAGGGACGGGGUCUUCCUUGAUACGGCGCUAGUACGUUUGGCCUCCCCCCCAGAGGCGAAACGGUGACGAUAGGCCGGUCUCCGUCCUCAUAGGGUGGUUGGGAUUCGCUGAGAUGCUGGGCCUUUCUUUGGCAUCUGCAGAGACAAUGAGAAGCAAACCUGCAGGUUCAAGCUUAAAAGUAAUGAAUGGAGCCCCGGCAUAAAUUAAAGGCGUUGGCUGUGGACUUUGAAAAAAGUCACGGGAAAACCAUCAUCUUAGGAUGCUGGGUGUAAGGAUCUUUGUGAUGAAGUUUCUACAGAUGUUUCUCCUUGCCAGGGACAGUCUCAGCCACGAUUUCUGAGGCUCCAAAGGAUCCUCCGGAAGGAGACACUAGCUAGCCACGUGGUGUCAGCUGCCCUGAGCCCGAAGUGGGACUUCGCUCGUGCAUGUGUCUGCGGCAUGUGGGACAGAACUGAGCUGCUGCUUUGCCUGAAGCAGGUGCAAGGAUUCCUCCUGUUGUUUGUUGUCUCCCAGCGAUGCCAGGCGGGAUCGCACAGCCUCUGCUGCUAAUUGCUCACGCCUGUAAAAUCAGCCCCCAAAAGGAGAAUCACUUAGAGGGUUGUUUGCACUUCAUCUUCACAAGUAGCCAAAGGAUUCGAGUGACAGUGAGCUUUUCCCAGAAGAUCUUGGGUAGUUAGUGAAAUUAGAGGAGAACUAACAAUACUCAGAACUCCAGUUUGGGUGAUCUGGGUACAACUGUAUUGGCGAGAAUCAGUGAUUGUAAAUAGAAAGUAAUUAAUAUGUACAUGCUCUGUUGGGGGAGACUGAGGGGAAACAGGUGCUCAGCCUGGAAAAACAUUUCUCAGUUCAUUUCCUGUGAAGUCACUGUGUCUUAGGCUUAAAUUUUGAAGCACAAAUAAAAUUGUAAAAAAAUUGA